UAUGACCAUGUGCUUAUAUGGAGGUAAAUGGUGUAUAGUUUGAGUAGAUGGAGGAUUGGUAGUUUGAUAUGUGUUGCUGCAGAUCCCUAUCUUGGGUUGGCUUGGCUGAAACUAGGCAGUGACUGUAGGGCAGCACUGUAGCAAUGAUAGGAAGGCAAUGGCAAGUCCUAUAGAAUAAAUUUUUGAUUAGAGUUGGUUUCAAUGGGGACUCUCUAAUGUUUAAGUCAAAAAUUUGAAAUAAUAAGAAAAAAUGAGCAUAUUGAGAGAAAAGUGAUUGUAUACCUAGAGGUCUCCUAUUUGCCCCUAUUUAUGUGGGAGAGCCGUGGGAGAGA
rnacentral:lncRNA from 1 species